CUCUGUCAGCAGCCAGGGGGAAGGAGCUCUUGCAGAAAUGCUACUCAGAGACACUUGGUUGCCUAUUCUGCUGCUGUGUCGUCUAUCCAAGAAUGUUGUGGUAUUUUGCAAGCAGCACAGCACACACCAUGCCUGCAAGGAGGAUAUUAUCAUCUCCAUGUUACAAAUUAGAAAAAAGAGAUGCCAAUGGAUUAAGUAAAUUGGUAAAUGUGUUAUGUAAGAAGUUUGGAGUAAAGUCAAGAACCAAAGAUUCCAGAAUCAAUACAUAAGGGCACUGUAUUCAUUGGUUGUGGGAACAAAGUGCAAGAUAGCAAAAAAGACUGAAAAUGAGGCAUUUUUGCUCCUGAGCUUUCAGGAAAAUGGAGCUUACAGCCAAAAAACAAUCUCUUUACAAAUGCUGGAAUCACAUGGCCCCGU